rnacentral:tRNA from 1 species
GGGCGAAUAGCUCAGUGGUAGAGCUCUUGCUUUACACGCAAGAUGUCGGGGGUUCGAUCCCCUCUUCGCCCA